rnacentral:rRNA from 1 species
GGGGAUAACACUUGGAAACAGGUGCUAAUACCGCAUAAUAGUCGACACCGCAUGGUGUUGAUUUGAAAGACGCUUUCGGGUGUCACUGAUGGAUGGACCCGCGGUGCAUUAGCUAGUUGGUGAGGUAACGGCUCACCAAGGCGAUGAUGCAUAGCCGACCUGAGAGGGUGAUCGGCCACACUGGGACUGAGACACGGCCCAGACUCCUACGGGAGGCAGCAGUAGGGAAUCUUCGGCAAUGGACGAAAGUCUGACCGAGCAACGCCGCGUGAGUGAAGAAGGUUUUCGGAUCGUAAAACUCUGUUGUUAGAGAAGAACAAGUAGGAGAGUAACUGCUCUUACCUUGACGGUAUCUAACCAGAAAGCCNCGGCUAACUACGUGCCAGCAGCCGCGGUAAUACGUANGUGGCAAGCGUUGUCCGGAUUUAUUGGGCGUAAAGCGAGCGCAGGCGGUUUCUUAAGUCUGAUGUGAAAGCCCCCGGCUCAACCGGGGAGGGUCAUUGNAAACUGGGANACUUGAGUGCA